rnacentral:rRNA from 1 species
CCUACGGGGGGCUGCAGUGGGGAAUAUUGCACAAUGGGGGAAAACCUGAUGCAGCAACGCCGCGUGAGCGAAGAAGGCCUUCGGGUCGUAAAGCUCUGUCCUAAGGGAAGAAGCAUGACGGUACCUUAGGAGGAAGCCCCGGCUAACUACGUGCCAGCAGCCGCGGUAAUACGUAGGGGGCGAGCGUUAUCCGGAAUCACUGGGCGUAAAGGGUGCGUAGGCGGCCAAUUAAGCCAGAGGUGAAAGGCUACGGCUCAACCGUAGUAAGCCUUUGGAACUGAAUGGCUUGAGUGCAGGAGAGGAGAGUGGAAUUCCUAGUGUAGCGGGGAAAUGGGUAGAGAUGAGGAGGAAAACCAGGGGCGAAGGCGACUCUAUAGACUGUAACUGACGCUGAGGAACGAAAGCGUGGAGAGCAAACAGGAUUAGAUACCCCGGUAGUC